UACGUAGGGUGCAAGCGUUAAUCGGAAUUACUGGGCGUAAAGCGUGCGCAGGCGGUUAUGUAAGACAGAUGUGAAAUGCCCGGGCUUAACCUGGGAACUGCAUUUGUGACUGCAUGGCUAGAGUGUGUCAGAGGGGGGUAGAAUUCCACGUGUAGCAGUGAAAUGCGUAGAUAUGUGGAGGAAUACCGAUGGCGAAGGCAGCCCCCUGGGAUAACACUGACGCUCAUGCACGAAAGCGUGGGGAGCGAACAGG
rnacentral:rRNA from 1 species